GAAACUGGCAUCUUCAAGAACUCUUAUUAUAGCAGAGAGCUGAGAGUCUUUCAUUGUGGCUGAUGGGGUGUUAUGUAUCUGUUUCAGUAUAGUAAGGGAUUUUUCAAUUUCCUUUUGAGCGUUUUUUCUUGAAGAAAUAUAAGCACUAACACUACCCUCAAUAGUCAAUAAAUCAUCUCCAGCUUUGCUUCUUCGAAGCGCGG
rnacentral:misc_RNA from 1 species